AGGCCCAAAGAGAGAGGCAGGGUCUGAUUCAUAGCCUCCAUGGCAGCUAUUGAUCAGCUGUUGCCUCUCUUUUUCUCUCCC
rfam:Myotis lucifugus cont2.43278, whole genome shotgun sequence.